rnacentral:lncRNA from 1 species
UUUGAAUCAAUCUUAUUUUAUGAUUCGCUUUAUCACUGUUAUUAUAUAAAAUUUUACAUUUCAAUCCGAUAACCUUUACAUAUCAAAUAACUCUAACUUUAGCUUUACAACUCAACAUAAAAUUAUACAUCAUAAAACAUUUAGUACAUCUCAUGAAUCUUAAUCAUGGUAUAAAGAAAUAACAACUUUAGUUAAAAUAUUAAUCUCCGUGUAUUAUUUCUGAUCCACGUCAUUCAAGUAGCACAUAGUGUU